rnacentral:rRNA from 1 species
GCUAGUUGGCGGGGUAACGGCCCACCAAGGCAACGAUCCGUAGCGGGUCUGAGAGGAUGAUCCGCCACACUGGCACUGAGACACGGGCCAGACUCCUACGGGAGGCAGCAGUGAGGAAUAUUGCGCAAUGGAGGCAACUCUGACGCAGCCACGCCGCGUGCAGGAAGACACCCCUCAGGGGCGUAAACUGCUUUUAUACGGGAAGAACACCUGGUUCUGCCAGGUCUGACGGUACCGUACGAAUAAGGACCGGCUAACUCCGUGCCAGCAGCCGCGGUAAUACGGAGGGUCCAAGCGUUGUCCGGAAUCACUGGGUGUAAAGGGUGCGCAGGCGGGCCUAUAAGUCAGAGGUGAAAGCCACCGGCCUAACCGGUGAACUGCCUUUGAUACUGUAGGUCUUGAGUCCCGGAGAGGCUAUCGGAAUUCGUGGUGUAGCGGUGAAAUGCGUAAAUAUCACGAGGAACACCGGAUGCGUAAGCGGAUAGCUGGACGGGUACUGACGCUCAGGCACGAAAGCGCGGGGAGCGAACAGGAUUAGAUACCCUGGUAGUCCGCGCCGUAAACGAUGGACGCUCGAUGUUGCACCGCUUCAGGUGCAGUGUCUAAGCUAACGCGUUAAGCGUCCCACCUGGGGAGUACGAUCGCAAGGUUGAAACUCAAAGGAAUUGACGGGGGCCCGCACAAGCGGUGGAGCAUGUGGAUUAAUUCGAUGCAACGCGAAGAACCUUACCCAGGCUCGAACGCGGCCGGACAGCCCCUGAAAGGGGGUCUCCUUCGGGCUGGUCGCGAGGUGCUGCAUGGCUGUCGUCAGUUCGUGUCGUGAGAUGUUGGGUUAAGUCCCGCAACGAACGCAACCCCUAUCACUAGUUACCAGCGGGUUAUGCCGGGGACUCUAGCGAGACUGCCUGCGCAAGCAGUGAGGAAGGUGGGGACGACGUCAAGUCAUCAUGGCCCUUACGCCUGGGGCUUCACACGUGCUACAAUGGCCGGUACAAUGGGCUGCCACCUGGUGACAGGGCGCGAAUCCAUAAAGCCGGUCUCAGUUCGGAUCGAAGUCUGCAACUCGACUUCGUGAAGCUGGAAUCGCUAGUAAUCGCGUAUCAGCAAUGACGCGGUGAAUACGUUCCCGGGCCUU